UCCCUGAGUAGAGAUAAUGAAGAGAAUACACAGAUUAAUGAUAAGUUUUGGAGGUAGAGUUGACAGGGCUUGUCAAUGAAUAGGAUGUGACAUAGGUAGGUAGGUAGGUAGGUAGGUAUGCAAGUAGAUACAGAAAGAGAGACAGUAAAGAUUACUGAGUACUACAGAUUUUUGGCUUGAGCAAUUGGUUGAAUAGAGGAUCUUUUACCAAGAAAAUUAUGGCUGGAGUGUAGAUGCCUCGUAUAUUUCUUAUGCAAUAAAAAUCAAUACAAAAUUUUUUUAAACAGAAAAAAAUGGCAGCUCCCCCUCUAAAAAUGAUGCCCCAAUAUGACAAGAUAUGGGCUGUUAUUUUCAAAAAGCACAGAUGACCAAACCAUGGUCCUAGGCUCUAAGUCAGAGAAUUUGCACUUAGAACUGACUGUUGCCUCUUUUGUGACUUACAGAGUUGUACACUCAAAGCAAAUCUGUGUGGGGACGAAGAGUCAGGAUCCAAUGGCCAUCUGUUUUACCAACAGGACAAAAGGAGCUCCCACACUGGCAAAACUUCAAAGGUUUGAGUGACGUCAGCAUCAUGGCGGAGUGAGCUGUUCCCUGAUAUUCUCCUGUCUGGUAUACAAAAGAGGAUAUUUAGAUACCAACAGAGGACAUUCACACAACACAAAAGAUGUCUCAGAGAUGAAAGCAGCCACAUGUCUGAAGGUGGAGGUACUGGAUCCCUUGGAGGAAGGGGAAGGAGUUAAUUUCCAUCACAUUUCUGAGAAGAUUAAGAAUUAAGUGAAGGAAAACUCAGAAAUGGUCUAAAAAGUAGCCAUCUGUGAACAGAAGAUCAAUGAAGCGAAGAAACAUGCUCAAGAAACAAAGGGGCAAAAUAAGAUUCUCUGUGAUGAAGUACAUAAAUUUAAGAUCUGUCUUCAAGUCCAGAGAUAUGAGUGUAGGAUUCAAGGAGUCCAAGCAGAGAGCCUCAAUACCUAAUAAAUGUACCCUGGAAGAAAGGAAAAAGAAGCUAGAAGACAACUGUGAGGCAUUGAGAUCUGUUAAAGUGACAAAGAAAUCAAAUUAAAAAUGUUAAAGAACAACAUAGGUGUGAUUGAUGAAAUCUGUGGACAAAGAAAGAUGGUCAC